UACAGAGGGUGCAAGCGUUAAUCGGAUUUACUGGGCGUAAAGCGCGCGUAGGUGGCCAAUUAAGUCAAAUGUGAAAUCCCCGAGCUUAACUUGGGAAUUGCAUUCGAUACUGGUUGGCUAGAGUAUGGGAGAGGAUGGUAGAAUUCCAGGUGUAGCGGUGAAAUGCGUAGAGAUCUGGAGGAAUACCGAUGGCGAAGGCAGCCAUCUGGCCUAAUACUGACACUGAGGUGCGAAAGCAUGGGGAGCAAAC
rnacentral:rRNA from 2 species